GUGGGGAAUAUUGGACAAUGGGGGGAACCCUGAUCCAGCCAUGCCGCGUGUGUGAAGAAGGCCUUUUGGUUGUAAAGCACUUUAAGCGAGGAGGAGGCUACCGAGAUUAAUACUCUUGGAUAGUGGACGUUACUCGCAGAAUAAGCACCGGCUAACUCUGUGCCAGCAGCCGCGGUAAUACAGAGGGUGCAAGCGUUAAUCGGAUUUACUGGGCGUAAAGCGCGCGUAGGUGGCCAAUUAAGUCAAAUGUGAAAUCCCCGAGCUUAACUUGGGAAUUGCAUGCGAUACUGGUUGGCUAGAGUAUGGGAGAGGAUGGUAGAAUUCCAGGUGUAGCGGUGAAAUGCGUAGAGAUCUGGAGGAAUACCGAUGGCGAAGGCAGCCAUCUGGCCUAAUACUGACACUGAGGUGCGAAAGCAUGGGGAGCAAACAGGAUUAGAUACCCCGGUAGUCC
rnacentral:rRNA from 1 species